GACGAACCGUGCGAACGUUGUUCGGAAUCACUGGGCUUAAAGGGCGCGUAGGCGGCUUGCCAAGUCGGGGGUGAAAUCCGGCAGCUUAACUGUCGAAGUGCCUUCGAUACUGGCGAGCUCGAGGGAGGUAGGGGUCUGUGGAACUUCUGGUGGAGCGGUGAAAUGCGUUGAUAUCAGAAGGAACGCCGGUGGCGAAAGCGGCGUACUGGACCUCUUCUGACGCUGAGGCGCAAAAGCGUGGGGAGCAAACAGG
rnacentral:rRNA from 1 species